CUUGAAUCAGUGGACAAGAUGGCGACGCCCAGUGAACUAUCUCUCGAGGAGAUUCGUAAAUAUCUAUUAGAAAACGGUGGUACGGCGCGUAAUCAUGAUGUUGUCAAGUAUUUCAAGAAAUUUUUAACUGAUCCUGAAACAAGAGUGGAAGCACGAAAUCGAUUCAAGGAGUACGUGAAUACUCUGGCCACCAUAAAGAACGAGGAGGGUGAAAAAUAUUUGGUGUUGAAGAAAAAGUAUCGUCAAGCAUCAUUGGAUCUUUCCAAUCCCGAGAAUGUAAAUUCAACUCAUACAUCACCUAAUUCACCUCAACGAGAACCUCCCCCUUAUCGAGCACCCCCACCUGCACCCUUAAGUCCCACCUCUACUAAUACUCAAGAAUCAAAUCGUGAAAACGACGCGCAUACGAAUUUUGAAAGUGACAUAGAAACGAGAAAACAAAUUCAUUCUGACGAAGCCGUUUCAUCGAGUGCAUCUUCACCUCCCGUACCACCUCGUCGUAAGGGUCAGGACAAAAUCAGGAUGGAUAGUAAAGAAAAUAUCGAGAAGAGCAAAACUGGAACCGAUGGAGUUAAUAAAGAAGAUGAAAUCAUCACUGCUGCUAAUCCUGGAUCCGGUGAAGAAUUGAGCUUCCGUGAACGGAUGCAACGUUUUGAUCGGAUGGCUAAUGAAACUGAUCUACAUGGCAGACCUAACGGUACUACAACGCCUACUAAAAAACGAUCUGAAAAGGGUGCGGACGAAGAAGACAGUGCUUCCGUUGCUUGGCAAUUAGAUGGAAAAUCACGAGAAUGGUUGGUGAAAGCUGCUCAAGGAGAUUAUCACGAAAUGGCGAAAUUGGCUGCUGUGGAACCACGUCUUACUGGAUUAAAGGAUCCAACAUCUGGCACGGCUUUGCAUUGGGCUGCGAAACAUGGCGACGAGAACAUCGUCAAAAUGAUUGCUGGCACCUACAGGGAAUACGUCAAGGACGUUAACGUUACAACCAAUGGGGGUUAUACGCCAUUGCACAUUGCUAUGCAAUUCGAUCAUGAAAACGUUUUCAACUUACUAGUACAAGUAUACGGUGCGAAUCAAGAGAUACGUGAUUACAGUGGUAAGAAAGCAAGACAGUAUUUAGUUUCUCAAGAGGCCGCAGUUAGCCAGGACACCUUCCGCAGGAUUACUGCUGCUGCUACGCUCAGAAAUAAAAGCAAGGAAAAAGCAUGCAGAGAAAGAUCUUGGUUUCCUACGAAUUGGCUCGUUGAACGUACGCGUGAAACGUACGACGGAAGCAUUCAGCCAAUUUCUGGGUGUGGCAACUAGUAGCAGCAACAGCAACAACAAUAGCGAGAAGAUUCAUAAGUCAUGGGGUUCAGCGGAUAACGUACAGAAAUUAGAUCAAAAGGUAAUGCCACCGCCAAAAUAUGCGCCAGUUAAAAAACGAA
rnacentral:misc_RNA from 1 species